AGGGUUGUAGCUCAGUGGUAGAGUGCUCACCUGGCAUGUGGAAGACACUAGGUUCAAUCCUUAGCACUUCAU
rnacentral:tRNA from 1 species